UGUGCCACCGAACUGUCUGAGUCCUGACUCUAACAUUUACUAAUUUUGUGAGCACAGGCACUCUGCCAGGGGCUGGAGAUAUACAGAUUAAAAAUAUAGUCCCUGUCCUCAAGGAGUUUACUGAAGAAAUGAGCAAAGACAAAAUGACUUCAGGGAAUGAAGAGGUAAAGGAAGAUUGGAACUGAAAGAACAUUGCUUUGGCACCUGAAGUCUUGGGUUUGAAUCCCAGCCCUACCUCUAGCUGCAUGGCUUUGGGGAAUUUCCCCCCCAAAGAAGAGGCUGGGCCGCAGGACCUUGAGCACAUAUUCCACUGGGGGUCUGGUCUAUUGUCAUUACAUGGUAGAAAGCAGCUUCUUUGACUGGCAAAAAUGGUGGAGCUGGAAUGGGAGAGGCAGGUGCCUUCAAAAAGUCCCGAGUUGGCUUGGGAUUAGGUUACCCCACCCAACAUCCUGGGGAAAGGAAGGUGUGAACGUGAGUGUGCUGGUGCGGGGGUUGGUGUCAUUGAAGAGGAGACUGGUCUUGGCUGCCAUGAAGGCCCCAGACUCAACUGACCAGAAGUUCAGUCAGCACUGAUGGGGCUCAUCAUUGAAGAGGAGACUGGUCUUGGCCACUGUGAAGUCCCCAGACUCAACUGACCAGAAGUUCAGCCAGCACUGAUGGGGGCUCAUCAUUGAAGAGGAGACUGGUCUUGGCUGCCCUGAAGACCCCACGCUCAACUCACCAGAAGUUCAGCCAGCACUGAUGGGGGCUCAUCAUUGAAGAGGAGACUGAUCUUGGCCGCUGUGAAGUCCCCAGACUCAACUGACCAGAAGUUCAGCCAGCACUGAUGGGGGCUCAUCAUUGAAGAGGAGACUGGUCUUGGCUGCCCUGAAGACCCCACGCUCAACUGACCAGAAGUUCAGCCAACACUGAUGGGGGCUCAUGGGCCAGCGGUUUGAAUAAGUGCUGAUCAAAAGGUGGGCUUCAGCCUGAGGCCAGCUUCCAGGGACCCAAGCUCCAGGGAACCCAGGCUCCAUUGGUUUUCUCCAUCCAGUCCUUGGAAUUAGUGGUACCGUUUGAUGACAAUCUCA
rnacentral:lncRNA from 1 species